UAAAGAUUCAUCGCUGAUAGAUAGGCAUGCGUUCCAUUAGGCAGUUGGCGGGGUAACGGCCCACCAAACCGACGAUGGAUAGGGGUUCUGAGAGGAAGGUCCCCCACAUUGGUACUGAGACACGGACCAAACUCCUACGGGAGGCAGCAGUGAGGAAUAUUGGUCAAUGGGCGUAAGCCUGAACCAGCCAAGUCGCGUGAGGGAUGAAGGUUCUAUGGAUCGUAAACCUCUUUUAUAAGGGAAUAAAGUGUGGGACGUGUCCUAUUUUGUAUGUACCUUAUGAAUAAGGAUCGGCUAACUCCGUGCCAGCAGCCGCGGUAAUACGGAGGAUCCGAGCGUUAUCCGGAUUUAUUGGGUUUAAAGGGUGCGUAGGCGGCCUUUUAAGUCAGCGGUGAAAGUCUGUGGCUCAACCAUAGAAUUGCCGUUGAAACUGGGGGGCUUGAGUAUGUUUGAGGCAGGCGGAAUGCGUGGUGUAGCGGUGAGAUGCUUAGAUAUCACGCAGAACCCCGAUUGCGAAGGCAGCCUGCCAGGCCAUGACUGACGCUGAUGCACGAAAGCGUGGGGAUCAAACAGGAUUAGAUACCCUGGUAGUCCACGCAGUA
rnacentral:rRNA from 1 species